rnacentral:rRNA from 1 species
GACGAACGCUGGCGGCGUGCUUAACACAUGCAAGUCGAACGGAAAGGCCCUGCUUUUGUGGGGUGCUCGAGUGGCGAACGGGUGAGUAACACGUGAGUAACCUGCCCUUGACUUUGGGAUAACUUCAGGAAACUGGGGCUAAUACCGGAUAGGAGCUCCUGCUGCAUGGUGGGGGUUGGAAAGUUUCGGCGGUUGGGGAUGGACUCGCGGCUUAUCAGCUUGUUGGUGGGGUAGUGGCUUACCAAGGCUUUGACGGGUAGCCGGCCUGAGAGGGUGACCGGCGACAUUGGGACUGAGAGACGGCCCAGACUCCUACGUGAGGCAGCAGUGGGGAAUAUUGCACAAUGGGCGGAAGCCUGAUGCAGCAACGCCGCGUGCGGGAUGACGGCCUUCGGGUUGUAAACCGCUUUCGCCUGUGACGAAGCGUGAGUGACGGUAAUGGGUAAAGAAGCACCGGCUAACUACGUG